UGCUCCCCAUCCAACCAUUUGUCGCUUGCUUUUCAAUUCAGAAGUUGCUCUUCCAACAAGUGUCGAUUACCAAUCUUCUAUGACCCUUCCUCAUUGGCGGAAAGGUGCAAAGUGGGGGUUGUCACUCAAAACAAGAGCGACUACCACCCAGGUUUGCAACGUGUCCGACAAAUCGUUUACGAUGCGACAAAGGACACCGC
ensembl:ncRNA C47G2.13 ncRNA